rnacentral:rRNA from 1 species
UGAGCUUGAUCCUGGCUCAGGAUGAACGCUAGCGGCAGGCUUAACACAUGCAAGUCGAGGGGUAGAGCACUUCGGUGCUUGAGACCGGCGCACGGGUGCGUAACGCGUAUGCAAUCUGCCUUUCACAGAGGGAUAGCCCAGAGAAAUUUGGAUUAAUACCUCAUAGUAUUACGACUUGGCAUCGAGAUGUAAUUAAAGUCACAACGGUGAAAGAUGAGCAUGCGUCCCAUUAGCUAGUUGGUAAGGUAACGGCUUACCAAGGCAACGAUGGGUAGGGGUCCUGAGAGGGAGAUCCCCCACACUGGUACUGAGACACGGACCAGACUCCUACGGGAGGCAGCAGUGAGGAAUAUUGGACAAUGGGCGCAAGCCUGAUCCAGCCAUGCCGCGUGCAGGAUGACGGUCCUAUGGAUUGUAAACUGCUUUUGUACGAGAAGAAACACUCCUAUGUAUAGGAGCUGA